GAGUUUGAUCGUGGCUCAGGAUGAACGCUGGCGGCGUGCCUAACACAUGCAAGUCGAACGGAGUUUAUGAGGAAGAAGCUUCGGCGGAAUUCUUAUAAACUUAGUGGCGGACGGGUGAGUAACACGUGGAGAACCUGCCUCUUACCGGGGGACAGCAGUUGGAAACGACUGAUAAUACCGCAUAAGCGCACGAGACCGCAUGGUCCUGUGUGAAAAGAUUUAUCGGUAAGAGAUGGCCCCGCGUCUGAUUAGCCAGUUGGCGGGGUAACGGCCCACCAAAGCGACGAUCAGUAGCCGGCCUGAGAGGGUGAACGGCCACAUUGGGACUGAGACACGGCCCAGACUCCUACGGGAGGCAGCAGUGGGGGUAUUGCACAAUGGAGGAAACUCUGAUGCAGCGACGCCGCGUGAGUGAAGAAGUAUUUCGGUAUGUAAAGCUCUAUCGGCAGGGAAGAAGACCUCGAAAGAGGGGAUGACGGUACCUGAGUAAGAAGCCCGGCUAACUACGUGCCAGCAGCCGC
rnacentral:rRNA from 1 species